CCUUUACUUAAAUAGUCAACACGUCCGGUGGUGUUUCCGAGUUAUCUGCUGACUUCUAAAAGAGUCAGGCAGCCCUUUAAAGGUUAAAUCUCAAAUUUUCAGAACUAUUAACAAUUCAUGGUCAGCUACAGUCAUUGUAUAAUUGACAAACAGUUCCGGAAUUCCGUUUGGAAUACAACGACCAGUUACAGAAGUACUGGUCAGAUACCACUGAGCACACACGUCGUUUGAAACGUAGGUAGCAAGCUGGUCUGCCGUCGCUGUAUCCACUUCAAUUCCAGUCUUGCAUAUCAUUGCGGUUCUUAAUGCGGUCAAGUUAUUUGCCAAAAUUGACGAAUUCAACUGCCACACAAAAUUAUCUGUCGGACACUCCGGCACGCAUACCUGCGGCGUAUCGCAUCCUUGGGUCACAGACGUGACCGCUACACAUUUUGUCAGAUCAAAAAAUACCAAAUAUGGUCUGUCCUCGACAUCUUUAUGCCUACCGCAUAUCCUUCCUUCACUAUCAGUUGGGUAUACUAACGUAUCUAUAUCUCCAUAAGUAUAAGCUGAAAUUAUAAAGAAUUUUAUCAGUGUGUUUCAAAGCUGUCUUUAAACAUAUAUGAUCAGGGUGAUGUAAAAAAGAUGUACUGGUUCCUUGUAGUAUACUCGUAUUCAAAAUUGCGUACCGUAAUAUCCAAUUACCGCCCAUCCUACCACAAAUGCUGAGAAGAUAAUCAAGCAAAAGCAAUCUGUACAUGAUCUGCCCUUUAGAGGUCCUCGAUAUUUUGGAUCGAACUGCAUCCUAUCACCUAAAAUUGGUAAUUUACAUACUUAAAUCAAUAAUAGGCCUUUUAUAGUUUAAACAUUUAUCCAGUUCACAAAUUCAUUUCAAUAGUUUUGGCACUAAGCCAUUUUGACAAUGUGUUGUGACAUUCAAAUAAUCUUAUCAACCACUUAUCUCAAUAACGAAGUAUACAUAUUAUAUUGGUAGUGAUCUAUAUUGAUCUCUUACCUGGAAUGGGAAAGUAUCGAUAGAGACGGUACUGCUUACAUUUUACAAUAGAAAUUAAAGAAGUUUUUGAGUUACAAGCAUAGUGCUCAAAACUAUCGCAGAAGUUGCUUGUUGAAAAAUUUGAAAACAGUUGUGGAUCGUUCGGUUUGGCAUAAUCCUUUUUUGGUAACUCACACAAAACUCUCUACAGGUACAAGACAUUUUUGACACGAGAAUUCAAAGCAGUCUGUGACGUGACUCACGUUUCUAUACAAUGAGACAAUAAGCAUACGUACCAUGUUUGUCGACCAUUGUUUGCACUUUGGUUCUUUAAAUAGACGUUAUCACUCUGACUUUAAGUACUUAUAUAAAGCCAGUCAACGUUCUAAGAAUUUUUUUUACUUGUCCAGUGUUACUUAUUAACUUGUUAGGUCUGCAUAUUAUUUUGCCCACUCCGGUUUCAUGCUCUUGGUUCAAAUUAUUAACGAAUACUUGGAUAGCAUAUGCUUUCAGUAACACUUCUACUGAUAACACAUUAAUCUGAUAAGAUGAGAUUUGGCAGCGAAGUAUGAAUCACCGGAAGUAAACAAUCUUAUCAAUUUUUAAUUGAGUCUGAUAAAUUGCAAAUUCUUUACAGGAUAUGCUAACCAUAUAUUGAUUGAAAAUAUGCACAGCAGUAACUUGAAUCAUACGAAAUCUCAGAAUUAUGUGAGUCGUCGAAAUUCUCAUUAUUUGCACGUUAUCGGUUCUAGCUAUCCCGAGUUUAUAGUUUCCAACUCUGGUCAAGAAACAUUUAUUUACUGAAAAAGUAGCGCUCGGUGAUUUGGAAUAGAGUAUAAAAUAACAAAAUAAUGGAAUCGUUGUUAAGACUAUUGAACAGUUCGUUGCGAAAUCCAAACAUAUCAACAUCUACACUAUCUAGAAGAGUUAAUUCAUAUUUCAUGAAACAGGGAAUGGGUCGUUUUUUGUUAGACUUAUGUACACCUUCAGUGCCGACAGAUUUGUUAAUUGAUUAAAGAAAGAUACGCAAACAAAAACAAUAUGAUUGAUAGCACUAUAUGACUUGAUAAGAAUCAAUUUAUGUGUACAAGAUAUGAAGCAUAAAAAAAAUUCUCCCAAGAGAACAUUUCGUGUAAUGGCUGUGCCGGAAUAUCGGUAAGGUCGUCUUAAACUACCGGGUUAUUGAAUUGAUGCAAUGACAAUAUUGCUCUUGCCUGGUAUUCAUCCCAGAUCAAAAACCAUUGUGUUUCUAGGAUAAAAUAAGAAUUUACUUGAUAUCAUAACAUAGAAACUAAAAUCACUAAAUAUCGAAUGAUUGGAUUUGUAGGGUGGUUCAUGGUGUGUUGGCAUUCAUAAAAUAAGGUAAAAACCUGUCCAGAACUCCAUGGCUUUUUCCUGGCAAUAGCUUAUUUGCUGUGCACCUAACUGCUCGAUCUUCGUGCAUCGUCUUGAUUGUCUCCUAAGGGGAAGGAGAGUGAGUAAAUUAUUAAUGAAGUUUCUUCUUUGCUUCGAACUGGUCUCUCAUAGUAGGAAGAUCAACCUCAGCAACUGCGGAUGGCUCAAGGGUGAUCAAUUCAGGUUGAAUUUUGUCCAGAAGUGCUUUCACUUCAGCCUCGCGGCGUUGGCUCUUUGUCUGGAAUGGAUUACUCUCAAGAGCAUCAAAAUUGGCUUCGGCACUCCCAGGAACAAGUAGAGAUUGAAAUCCUUUGGCUGUUGCGAUGCCCAACACAUCUU